rnacentral:rRNA from 1 species
UACGGAAGAUCCGGGCGUUAUCCGGAUUUAUUGGGUUUAAAGGGAGCGUAGGCCGGCUUUUAAGUCAGAUGUGAAAUCCCGCGGCUUAACCGCGGAACUGCAUCUAAAACUGGUAAGCUGGAGUGCAGGAGAGGUGAGUGGAAUUCCUAGUGUAGCGGUGGAAUGCGUAGAUAUUAGGAGGAACACCAGAGGCGAAGGCGACUCACUGGACUGUAACUGACGCUGAGGCUCGAAAGCGUGGGGAGCAAACAGG